rnacentral:rRNA from 1 species
GACCUCUGUUCAGGUGAG